rnacentral:rRNA from 1 species
UACGGAGGAUGCGAGUGUUAUCCGGAAUCACUGGGCGUAAAGCGUCUGUAGGUGGUUUGCUAAGUCUGUUGUUAAAGCUUGAAGCUCAACUUCAAAAAUGCAACGGAAACUAGUAGACUUGAGUGUGAUAGGGGUAGAGGGAAUUUCCAGUGAAGUGGUGAAAUGCGUAGAGAUUGGGAAGAACACCAGCGGCGAAAGCGUGCUACUGGGUCUGCACUGACACUGAGGGACGAAAGCUAGGGGAGCGAAAGGG